AACGAACGCUGGCGGCAGGCCUAGCACAUGCAAGUCGAACGCUGUAGCAAUACAGAGUGGCAGACGGGUGAGUAACGCGUGGGAACCUUCCCAAUGGUGCGGAAUAGCCCAGGGAAACUUGGGGUAAUACCGCAUAAGCCCUUAGGGGGAAAGAUUUAUCGCCAUUGGAUGGGCCCGCGUCGGAUUAGCUAGUUGGUGUGGUAAUGGCUCACCAAGGCAACGAUCCGUAGCUGGUUUGAGAGAAUGACCAGCCACACUGGGACUGAGACACGGCUCAGACUCCUACGGGAGGCAGCAGUGGGGAAUCUUGGACAAUGGGCGCAAGCCUGAUCCAGCCAUGCCGCGUGAGUGACGAAGGCCUUAGGGUUGUAAAGCUCUUUUGCCGGGGACGAUAAUGACGGUACCCGGAGAAUAAGUCCCGGCUAACUUCGUGCCAGCCGCCGCGGUAAAAC
rnacentral:rRNA from 1 species